GACGAACGCUGGCGGCGUGCUUAACACAUGCCAGUCGAACGGAAAGGCCCUGCUUGCAGGGUGCUCGAGUGGCGAACGGGUGAGUAACACGUGGGUGAUCUGCCCCUUACUUUGGGAUAAGCCUGGGAAACUGGGUCUAAUACUGGAUAGGACCAUGCUGUAGGUGGUGUGGUGGAAAGAUUAGUUUCGGUAAGGGAUGAGCUCGCGGCCUAUCAGCUUGUUGGUGGGGUAAUGGCCUACCAAGGCGUCGACGGGUAGCCGGCCUGAGAGGGUGGACGGCCACAUUGAGACUGAGAUACGGCCCAGACUCCUACGGGAGGCAGCAGUGGGGAAUAUUGCACAAUGGGCGCAAGCCUGAUGCAGCGACGCCGCGUGGGGGAUGACGGCCUUCGGGUUGUAAACUCCUUUCAGCCAUGACGAAGCCCUUGUGGUGACGGUAGUGGUAGAAGAAGCACCGGCUAACUACGUG
rnacentral:rRNA from 1 species